rnacentral:rRNA from 1 species
CCUACGGGAGGCUGCAGUCGAGAAUCAUUCACAAUGGGGGAAACCCUGAUGGUGCGACGCCGCGUGGGGGAAUGAAGGUCUUCGGAUUGUAAACCCCUGUCAUGUGGGAGCAAAUUAAAAAGAUAGUACCACAAGAGGAAGAGACGGCUAACUCUGUGCCAGCAGCCGCGGUAAUACAGAGGUCUCAAGCGUUGUUCGGAAUCACUGGGCGUAAAGCGUGCGUAGGCUGUUUCGUAAGUUGUGUGUGAAAGGCGCGGGCUCAACCCGCGGACGGCACAUGAUACUGCGAGACUAGAGUAAGGGAGGGGGAACCGGAAUUCUCGGUGUAGCAGUGAAAUGCGUAGAUAUCGAGAGGAACACUCGUGGCGAAGGCGGGUUCCUGGACAUUAACUGACGCUGAGGCACGAAGGCCAGGGGAGCGAAAGGGAUUAGAUACCCUGGUAGUC